rnacentral:rRNA from 1 species
GAUGAACGCUGGCGGCGUGCCUAAUACAUGCAAGUCGAGCGAACAGACGAGGAGCUUGCUCCUCUGACGUUAGCGGCGGACGGGUGAGUAACACGUGGAUAACCUACCUAUAAGACUGGGAUAACUUCGGGAAACCGGAGCUAAUACCGGAUAAUAUAUUGAACCGCAUGGUUCAAUAGUGAAAGACGGUUUUGCUGUCACUUAUAGAUGGAUCCGCGCCGCAUUAGCUAGUUGGUAAGGUAACGGCUUACCAAGGCAACGAUGCAUAGCCGACCUGAGAGGGUGAUCGGCCACACUGGAACUGAGACACGGUCCAGACUCCUACGGGAGGCAGCAGUAGGGAAUCUUCCGCAAUGGGCGAAAGCCUGACGGAGCAACGCCGCGUGAGUGAUGAAGGUCUUCGGAUCGUAAAACUCUGUUAUUAGGGAAGAACAAAUGUGUAAGUAACUGUGCACGUCUUGACGGUACCUAAUCAGAAAGCCACGGCUAACUACGUG